rnacentral:rRNA from 1 species
ACCGGCGAUUUCCGAAUGGGGAAACCCAGUGUGAUUCGUCACACUAUCAUUACGUGAAUACAUAGCGUAAUGAAGCGAACCGGGGGAACUGAAACAUCUAAGUACCCCGAGGAAAAGAAAUCAACCGAGAUUCCCCCAGUAGCGGCGAGCGAACGGGGAGCAGCCCAGAGUCUGAAUCAGCAUGUGUGUUAGUGGAAGCGUCUGGAAAGUCGCACGAUACAGGGUGAAGGUCCCGUACACAAAAGUGCAUGUGUUGUGAACU